GAAAAUCUGAGUUGUGUAUGAGUGUGUGUGUGUGUGUGUAUGUGUGUGGUCACAUGUUAAUGACAGAGAUACAUUUUGAGAGCCACAUCAUUCAGUGACCUCAUCUUUCAGCAAACACCAUGGGGUAUACUUACCCAAGCCUAGAUAGUAUAGAACAAUCUCUAGACAUGGGCAUUUGUUGUUGUUGUUGUUGUUGUUGUUGUUCUAGGGAUUGAAUCCAAGGAUGCUUAACAACUGAGCCACAUCUCCAGCCCCUUUUUUAAAAUAUUUUAUUUAGAGACAGGGUCUCUCUGAGUUACUUAGGGCCUCGCUAAAUUGCUGAGGCUGGCUUUGAGCUCACAAUCCUUCUGCCUCAGCCUCCCAAGCCACUGGGAUUAUAGGUGAGCAUCACUGUGCCUGGCUAGACAUGGACCCUUGAUGGAGUCAAGAGACAGUGAACACAAGAAGUCUGAAGCUUCUACAGACAGAAGUUGGCAAAUGGCUUGACAAUGAACCUUUUUUAAUAAACAGAAGUAGUAUACUUUAAUAUAAUGAGAAAAUAAGUACAAGACAGUAAAUACAUAAACCAGUAACAUAGUCAUUUAAAAUCAUUACCAAAUAUUUUGCACCAUACGUAACCAUAUAUACCAUAUGGCUGGCAGCACAGGAGGUUCAUUUACACCACAAUACCACCAACAUGUGAAUAAUGUAUUGCAGCACAGUGUUAUGACAACUAUGAGGUUAUGGGGAAAUGAGAAUUUCUCGGCUCCUUUAUAAUCUUAUGAGACCAUCGUCAUACCCAUGGCCUACUUACUGUUGAGCAAAACAUCACUGCAGUGGCUCAGGUUGCUGAGGCAGGAAGAUCGCCAGUACAAAGC
rnacentral:lncRNA from 1 species